UAAUUUUUACUAAAUUUUUAAUAAAAAUUACUUUCAAAUCAUGGGAGUCCUGAAGUAGUGAAGCAAUUAAUUAAAUGAAGCAGCUCAUCUUUAAAAAUGUAGUUUUUUGAACACCUUAGCCCUCCCACACCAAAAUAACUGAUCUUUUUUCCCCACAUCACAUCCGUCCUGCUAUCUUCUUGCUUUAAUGAAUCAGUCAUUCCUCCUGUUUGUAAUUGAAGCCAUAUUUGCCAUCAUAAGUUAGUCACCCAAGCUCAUUUUGCUCUGAUACCAGUAAGGUAAAGUUAUUUCUAACAUGCCCCUUAACAAUGCUAGUAAAAGCAGUAACCAGUGGCUUAAUAUACAAGCAUAUCAAAUUCCACAUAAGUCGUGUAACCACAAAAUUUUUUAAAAAGUACAAGUGUCCUUUACAUUAGCUACAACAUGUUGUUAUUGUGGCAAGCAUUUCCCCUUUGUAAAUUGCCUUAAGAUCCACUUGUGAACCACACAAGAAAUCAGUCUAGCCUUACAAUCCUAUCUAGGUUGACAAAAAAAAAAAAUAGCAUUGCCCCACUGGAUCUCUUACUUUAUAAACCAUAUUUGGCUCUACUGACUUUGGGCUCUUUAGGAUUACAUCCCUUGCUGGGUACGCUGGCACAUGCCUAUAACCCCAGCAGCUCAGGAGGCUGAGGCAGGCGGAUCACAAGUUCAAAGUCAGCCUCAGCAACUUAGCAAGGCCCUAAGCAACUCAAUGAGACCCUAUCUCUAAAUAAAAUACAAAAAGGAGCUGGGGAUGUGGCUCAGUGGGAAAGUGCCCCUGUGUUCAAUCCCCAGUACCUGACCCCCACAUACACAAAAAAAAUAUUACAUCCCUUUUCACUCACUAGUGACCAUUGCCACUGUAAAACAUGCUGGAGGGGCAGAGCCAGGGCAGCUGAAUGUUAACCCCUCAAAGUGACUACUGAUAGAGAUAAUUCAAAUUUGGGUUUUCUAACAAGAACAUAUUUUUAAAUAGCCCUUAAAGUAGUUUUCCUUCUCUAAUCUCCACUCUUCCCAAUUCAAGAGCAAAUUAUAAAUUUUCAUUUCUCAGGCUGCUUCCUGUUGUAAUUUCACUUUUCAGAAAUGUAACAAUAAAAGCUAAUGCUUUCUUUUAAAGCUAGAAAAAUGCUGGUGUACAUUUUACUGGACUAUGAUGUAGAAUGAGAAUUGAUUUCUAUUAUUUUUCCCCGUAGCCUUAACUCCUUAAACUCAGUAACUGAACAUAUAAUUACUGCAAGCCUGAUAAAACUUCGCAUCUGAACAGAAAAAGGGCACAUAGCAAACUGUAGUGUGUGCUUGGAGCAGAGCCAAGAGAGUGAGGUGUAGACCCCCAUCUACAUCUUUAGACCCGUGGCUCUUCAGGAAUGAUCAGGGAACUAUG
rnacentral:lncRNA from 1 species